UUAAAAACAUUCUAAGUGUGUAAAGUUUACCAUCAACAAACUUCUAAGAGACUACCAAUCACAUAUCCAUUUAAACCCAUCCACAACCUACCAUCAUCUCAUUGUUCGGAAAGCGCUACCCCAUCUACACAAAAUCAUCCACCAUCUCCUAACACAACCACAAAUCUUUUACCACUCUCCUCCAUAAAUACUUAUCUACCCCAUAACCAUCAAAUCCUUGCAAUCUACUCAAACCCUUUCAGUUAGCUAUUGAGUACCCUCCCGGCUAACCAUCUAAAUCGUAAACCAUGUGAUAAAAAAUUACAAAUAAUGUAUGAUCGAUUUAACCACACAACCAAUGAAAAUUACAUCCACCUAAGAAUCAACACAUUCACAUCCGCACUACUGCAUCCAAGCAUUUGGAUCCCCAUUUCGCAUCUACACAUUCGCAUCAUGGACUAAAUUCACAUCACAAAUUUUCUGUGUGUUUCACAGCUCCAUGAAAACAUAGGCGAAACCACUUAUCUUUUACACGAUCCUCAUUACCAACAACCAAAAGAACAACAAACAAACACAUACUUAACAUCAUCACUCCAAAAAAAAAACUGUACAUCCUCAUAAAACUCAAACACCUUAUUUUCCAGCCGUUAGAUUAGACUCCUUAAACCACAUAUCAGUAAGUUAGGUUAAUUCUAACUUUAUAUAUUGAGGCUCACAAAACUACAUUAACGUUUAUUUCAUCGUGCAAGGCACACAAACUACAGUAGAGACUCUAUAAAUUAAUACUCGAUAAAUUAAUAAAUACUAUAAGUCAACAAAUUCUUUUGGUCUCAAGUUGAUCUGGUUCAAAAUAUGACACAAAUCGCUAAAGUAAUAAGAUAAUAACUUGUUAGAAAUCCUAUGUAAAUAUAUGUUCGUCGACCUUUUUGGUGGCGGCCGCAGCGGCUACCACCAACACCUCUUCAAGCUCAUCAGCCGGGGAUGGCGGCGGAGGGAGAGCAGUUUCCGAUGAAUACAACUCGGCGGUUUCGUCUCCAGUGACCACAACUGAUUGUACUGAAGAAGAGGAAGACAUGGCGAUUUGUCUCAUCAUGCUUGCGCGCGGAGCGGCUCUUUCACCAGAUCUCAAGAAUUCGAGAAAAGCUGAUAAAACUCUUUCGUCGGCAGAGAAUUCGAGUUUCUUUGUCUACGAGUGUAAAACAUGUAGCCGGACGUUCUCGUCGUUCCAAGCUCUCGGUGGACACAGGGCGAGCCACAAGAAACCUAGAGUGUCGAUAGAGGAAAAGACUAAACUACCCCUGAUGCAGGCCAAGUCUAGUGGGUCAGAGGAAGGGCAAAAAAAUAAUUUCAAAGUGUUUGGUUCAUCCCUAGCUUCGCUGUCAAGUAACAUCAUCAUCAGCAAGGCAAACAAAGUACACGAGUGUUCGAUCUGCGGUUCAGAGUUCACUUCGGGACAAGCCCUCGGCGGCCAUAUGAGGCGGCACAGGACAGCCACCACUGCGGUAAUACCGGUCGCUACCACAGAAGUUAGCAGAAACAGUACAGAAGAGGAGACUGAGAAUUUGAGCUCUUACAUUGAGCAGAGGAAAUAUUUACCGCUGGAUCUUAAUCUACCGGCACCAGAAGAUGAUCUAAGAGAGUCCAAGUUUCAAGGGAUUGUGUUCUCAACCACACCAGCGUUAAUAGAUUGUCAUUACUAGUUGUUUGUAGUUGAAUGUUUAGUUACAUGAUAAUAUAUUUGUGAAUUCUUCUUCUAUUACUAUAUUGUUGAACUGGAAUUAUUUCCAAAAAUUGAAUCAAAGUAUCAGUUGAUUUUUUUUAAUAGGAGGAAAAUGAAAUGUGCAAGUUAUAAUGAAAAAGAAGGAAUAAUAGUAGGAGUUAAGUAAAGGGUUGUGUGAUAGUUAGAUGAUCUACUUGUUGAAGUAAGAAUAGUUUGAGUAAGCAAGUGGUUUGUGUUCAUGGUUGCCUUUCAUUCACGAAAAGAAAGUGACUUCCAAGGCAUCUUUUCUUUCCCUCUUUUUAAGGUAUAUGUUAUUAUUCUUUUAAACAAAAAUACAAAUUAUGAGUUUUUUGUAACAUGUGAACCAAGCAUUGUAUUGCUUGUAGACGCCUCUUUCCCCCCACGAUUACGCAGCCAACGCUAUAUUGUGUUCUACUACUUCAAACAAAAUAUGUUAUGGCAUAAAAAUUUAUAGAAAAUCUAGAGAAAUAGAGGCAUAUAUAAAACAUUAUAAAAUACAUAUAAAGAACUUUGAAUGUUUUAUUUGAAAAUAAUAUUUAAUAAAUCUUAUUUUCAUUUGAUAUUUGAGUUUUAGGUACCAGAGUAUAAAAGAAGCACUUUAAAACAUACCAACUAUUUUUUUUUUUUUUGUAAAUAGUGAUGUCUCUUAUGACAUUAUGUAUAAGAAGCCCAACGCUAUAUUCCAUCUUUCCCAUUUCAUAAUUUUAUGGUAUAAAUAUAUUCAUAUGCUAAAUAGCAUUUGAAAUCAUAUUCUUAUGUUAGUCACCUAAUAUACAAAAGUAUUAUUCACCUAAUAUAAUCUGACAAAGUACAAAAUAAUCCUCAUUUUCGAGAUUCCAAAAUUAGUUUGAGAUUUUUCUCAAAAAAGAAAAAAGUUUGAAAAUCAAGUUAUGAUUAACUCAGUCACAAUAUUUAAAAGGGUAAUUAUUUAGUAAUGAAUAAAAAUAAUAAUGUCUCAUUUUGAAUUUGUGCUAUGAUGAACAAUACUAUUUUCCAGCUCCUUUUCAUAACAAGCAAUUUGUAAAUAAGCAUACAUAUAUAAUCCAUUUAUAUAAGUUGGUUAAAUAAUCAGGAAAAUGUUAUAUAUACACACAAUGAAUUUAAGAAACAGAAAGGUAGUGUGGACUGUGGACACGAGAUGGACGUGGUGACCGGCUUAGGUCGUGUAUUAGGUUCCCGGCCCUUUGGUUUUGGGUUGUUGGUCAUCACAUUUACAAUUUAUCAUAUAUGAAUCAUUUUAGUCAAUUAUAACGGACUAACAAUUAUUAUAACAUAACAGAAAGUAGAAAAGAAAAGAAAAACUAAUAAUUAGAAGUAAAAAAGAAAAUAAACAGUGACAGCAGAAACAGUCACAAGAUUCACUCACCGCUUCACUCCUUGCUUCCAAUGCUCCUCUAAUAAAUCUAUUAUUGCAGUUGCAUUUACGAUUCAACGUUAUUAUUGGAAUAGAAUGUAUUAACAUAUUCUUGUUCUCGCACGAUGUUAUUUUGUCGAUUAAACUAUCUUUCUACAAAUUUAUUUUACAGAUUAGUGAAAAACUUGUAGAGCUCCAAGCCUACAAUGUAUAGAAUAAAAUCUGAAUGUAGUUUCCUUCGCUUUCAUUCUCAAAAUCAGCAAGUGAAAGUCAUAUGUACAUAACUCUAUAAGCAAUAAAAAGAUGACCAAUAUACUAAGCCAAAAGAGACUAGAACAGUAAGUUUUUUUUUUUACAGUAGACUGAUAUAUUUGUUUUACCGAUCCAGGAGUCCUAUACAUCAAUAGUUCUUAAAGUGUACGAGUCAAGAACUUUUGUUAACCACGUUUGGUAAAACAUAUACUAAACAAGGGUAAUAAAAUUGAAACAUAUACCAAACAUGUAUUAGAGUUAUGUAUUGUUAGAAAUAGACUACAUCCAUCGACAAGCCCGCAACAAGGCCCAAAAAUGUAAUUGAACUCGGUAUAGUUAAGAAGAGAGGCGGUCGAGACGAUUCAAGUCGGCUUAAGAGAAAAAGAAAGAAAUCGGCGAGUUCAGCUAUAAAUGGGUGGAACUCGCAAAGAGAAGACAUUCACAAAAGCAUAAAGGCCGGCAUGAGAAUGAAGGUUUUCGUGGUUGCACCUUCUUCUUGAAGAAUUCAUAAUUCUCUUACAAUUUCAUUAUCAUUUUCUUUCAUUAUCUUUUUCCUUGUAAUUGAUAUUUGAUCUCUAAAAAAAAAAUCUUUCAUAUAAUCCACUAUAAAGUUAAUUGGCUUAAUAAACACAAAAGAAGAAAAAAAUAAUAAAAUAACUAUAUAAUAAAGUGGCUGGUCAAGUGACAAUUUUGCUAAAAGUGGAUCAUUUACUCCUUUUCCAUGGGUGACAGUGCAACAAACAUGAUGUGUACAUAACAAUUGAUUUAUUGUUACAUUAUAACGAAAAAUAUAACAAAUAUUUUCUUAUUUUUCUAUUCUAUAGGUCUCUAAUAGAAUAUAACAUGAAAAUUGUAAUAGUAAUUUCUUUUUUUGAUUAUUUUUAGUCACUAUCAGUGGAAAAAAAAUGUAUAUAUGAAAACAGUAAAAGAAGAAAAAUGAAACCACCACAAAAAAAUAAAUGGAUGAGAAAAAACAGGUAGUGGGAUAAGGUGGGAAGACGAUGGGUGACCAUAGUGAGGGAGUAGAAGACGGCGACGAAAGAGAAGGAGGAAGGGAAGGAAAGAGAGAAGGAGGAGAAAGAUGAUGAGAAGAAGAAAGAAGAGGACGGAGAAGGAAAGUAAAAAAAGAAAAAAAAAGAGGAGGAAAAAAGGAUGAAGAAGAAGAAAAUUGUUGAGAAUGAGAAAGGGUAAGAAGAGAAAAAGAAGAAUGAAAAUGAGAAUGUGUUUGAUUCUAAUUUAUAUUAUGUAGUGUAAAAUGUAUUGUAUAUAGUUUGAUGUUCACUUCCUCUUUACAAUGUGGUUGACAUAUAUUAUGUAAGAGAUACACUUGUUGUCGUCGAAAAUGACAUAAUUAACAAGACCUCAUAUACUAAAGCGCUAUCUAAACACAAACACCUUUUCAUUGUCAUAUUCACAUCCUCUUGAAGCACUCUAUUCUAUGUUCUGAAAAUAUAAUAGUAUAUACUGUUCAUCUUCUCCAGUUUUGAAUUCCGUCUUCACUGUUGCUUGUUGAAUCAUCAAAUCUCUAACCACUAGCAUGCUCGCGUGAUUCACCUCAAGCUCUAGAUCCAUUAAUGCUGACAUCAGCCUUACCGUUGGGCGUUGGACUUGCUUGAUUAUCCUCUAAUCUUUGUAUCCCAACCAAUAAUCUUCACUGCGAUCUUUAUCUCCACUGGUCUGAUCACCAUUAUCGAGAAUGAUAACGAUAGCUUUCUACCAGUGCUCACUUUUAUUAUGGUAUUCCGGCAACCUCUGUAUUUCUAAAGAGUAUUUUGAUAUGCUAUUUUUGCCUGUUUUUUCAGAUUUUUUUUCUUUCUAUCAGUCUGAAUAGGAUAAAAAAGUUAUAAAAUUUCUUACAAAUGACACAAGGGAUAGCUAGAUCCGAACCACCAUUUAAAUUGCAUGGGCUGAAACCUAAGAUCAAACUGGCCAAAUUAAUGGAGUCCACAAAAAACAUAGUUAUAUUGAUAAACUUACCUUUUUAAAUUACCUAAAAGUAUUGUAUUCUUUUUUUUAAUGAAAAGUAUUGUAUUUUUAGUAGGGUUUAUGAACAAUUACGUAAACAACAUUUCACUAUAAUAAAUUGAUCUAAUAUCCAUUACUGGAACAUAAAAAAUGGAAAACCAGAAAAUCAGUGUAAACUUUUUGAAAACAAAUUUGUAAUAUAUUCGGAAAUGGAAUCAAAGCAGCAAAAUUGGAAAAGCUGCCAAGUCAGGAAAAUUAACAAUUACGUAAAAUAUAGAUUUCGCUAUAAUAGUGAUAAUUCCAUUAACAGAAACGUAAAAAAUGAAAAACCAGAAACCAGAAUAAGGUCUUAGAAUUUUUUUUUGUAAAAUAUUCAAAAAUGGAAAUAAUAAAAAUGGAAGAAAUAAAAUUGACAAAUCAGGAAAAGUAACUGAUUCGAGAAAAAGUUCAUAAUGUAUAAAUAUGUGCAUGAAUGAUCAAGUUGCAUUGUGUCUCAAAACCAAAAGUAUUAUUCAGUCACCAUGUCUUUUGCAACCAGAAUGAUGAGCAUGACCCUCUCUCUUCAAAUCCUUACAGCUUUUCUCUUUAUUACCGCCACAGCAUCAUCACCACCCCCCAGCGGCUUCACCAUGGACCUAAUCCAACGUCGCACUAAUUCACCUUCUACUCAACACUCCAAUACUGAUGAUCAGCUCCGAUCAUCUCCUUACGCCGACGUCGUCUUUGAUAACUACGAGUAUCUUAUGAAACUCCAAAUCGGUACACCUCCUGUCGAGAUCGAAGCAAUCGUAGACACAGGAAGCGAUGUCAUAUGGACACAAUGCUUGCCUUGUCUUAACUGCUUCAACCAAAGCAAUCCAAUAUUCGACCCUUCGAAGUCCUCGACCUACAAAGAGAAACAAUGCAAUACCCCUAAUGACCCCUCUUGUGAUUAUGAGUUGACAUACGCAGACCAAAGCUACUCCAAAGGAAGUUUCGCAUCCGAGACUGUCACCAUCAAAUCCACUUCUGGCCAAUCCUAUGUAAUGCCUGAAACAGUUAUUGGAUGUUCACACAACAGCUCGGGGUUUCGAACAACCGGUUCUGGCAUUGUUGGUCUAAGUUGGGAUCGUUCAUCACUCAUCUCUCAGAUGGGCAAAAACAUGCACGGUGCCUUUUCUUACUGCUUAUCCCCUGGGGGAGCUAGUAAGAUCAACUUUGGAAGUAAUGCUAUUGUGUCAGGGAAUGGGACUGUAUCAACACCUAUGUUUCUGAAACCCGAUUUCGGUUUCUAUCACCUAAACCUAGACGCGGUCAGCGUUGGGGAAACUCGCGUUGAAACACUGGGGACACCGUUUCACGCAGUAGACGGUAACAUGAUCAUAGACUCUGGAUCAACUGCAUGCUCCUUGCCCACGAGUUACUGUAGCCUAGUGUGGGAGGCAGUGGAAAAGUUUGUUACAGCGGAACGAGUAACUUCCGCGGACGGCUUGCUUUGCUACAAAACGAACACCAUGGAUGUCUUUCCAGUGAUCACAAUGCAUUUCUCUGGAGGUGCAGAUCUUGUUUUGGAUAAACACAAUACAUAUAUUUCUAAUGGACAUGCCAUUUGUCUGCUUAUUCUGUGUAAAGAAGAAGCUCUUUUUGGUAAUACAGCGCAGAACAACUUCUUGGUUGGUUAUGAUCAUUCUUCACGACAGAUUUCUUUUAAACCCACCGAUUGUGAAGUUGCACAAGACAUACCAAGAGACUCAAUUUCUGCAGCAUUGGUUUUACAGUUUAACAUUAAGUUUGUUUUAUUUAUAUUUGUCCUUUCAUUAAUUAGACUAUAGAGAAUGGAUUUGUUUUAUUUAUUUAUGUCCUUUCAUUAAUAAAACGAUGGACAAUGGAUUUGUUUUAAACAUCAAUAUGCGAAUGAAUUGUUGAGUCGCACUCUUAAACGAAUAAUAAUUGACUGCUUCAUCAUGACAUGUAUAUCUCCAAGAACUCCAUCACUUUUUCUCACCUUCUCCACUGAUGAUACGUAGGAAGAUACUCAGCAGUGUAAUAUUGUUUUUUUUUUUUGAGAAAUCAGUGUAAUAUUGUUUCUUGAUUAUUCUUUGGUGUCCCAUCUCCUUACGUUAUUUUCACAACUUUCGACCCUAUUUUACUCAAACUUAAAAUGAUUAUUCUCCAAGAAAAAUAUGUUCUACAAGAAUUUUGAUGAAUACCGACAUAUUACUUUGGUAGAUAUGGUAAAAUAAUAUGAAGCAAAUAAAGAUGUUAUGGAUUAGUCAAGUUUUUUUUAAUUACUUUUUAUAUAUAUUUCCCUAACCUCAAUACAGAUCAUUACGCAUGAAGAAAAACAGAGGCAGAAAAAGAUACAGUCACAGUGAGAAGGCAAGCCAUAGAUGAAACAAUAAGAUAACGAUUAGGAAAGAUGAGUAAGGUUGGAAAUAUUUGAACCAUGUGAUCAGAUGUGAUUCUGAGCUUGGAAAAUGAGCUGUCCUUUUAAAAAAUCCCCAUGUCUCUGCGAUCUCUUCCAAAAUAGUUUAGCACGUAUAACAAGUUAAAAUUUCUUUGACCAAAAUCUAUGUCGGUUUUCUCACAAAAUUAUGCAAUCUAGAGUUCCUCUCUCACAGAAUUAUGCAAUCUAGAUUUUAAAUGGAUUAUACCUAUAAAGACAUAGAAAGUACCUACUCAAACAUAAUGUAGUAAACAUAAACAAUGUGACCGUACGGAGCAUCUUAGUAUCCAAUGUAAACAUAGAAAAUGCCUGCUCCUGAGAGCAUGGCCAACAUGUAAUAUCUUGGGAAGGAGUUUCUAGUUGUUCAAUAUUAUUACAAUGUGAUAAUGAAUGCAUUUCAUGAGACUUCUUAGAUAAUUUAUUUCCAGCUCGAUUCCUUUCUCUUUCUCUGUUUGUAAAGUCUUCAUCAUGCAUUCGUGAUUUCGCCUCUCGUGGGGGCUAGCAAUGUGAUCUGCAGUGGAACAUGCACUGAGAUUAGGAUUCACCAAGAUUAUCCUCAAUUCAGAUUCGAAACAACUUGUAGGAGCAAUCAACGGCUCACUCACUUUGUCUGAUCUUCAUGGAAUUUGUUCUGAUAUCCAUCUUUUGUGGAAAAACUUUGAUCCGGUUCUGUUUAGCUUCUGCCACCGUGGUUCUCUUUCUUUUGAGGAUGGCUUGGCUACACAGUCUUUAAACUAUUUUUUAUCAGAAGCCCAUUAAGAAAUGAAGUUGUUGUUGCACAAAAAAAAACCCUAAAAGUUUUGUAUUUUUAUAAGGGUUUAUGACCAAUUACGUAAAAACAUUUCACUAUAAUAAAGUGAUAAUAUCCAUUACUGGAACGUCAAAAAAUGGAAAACCAGAAAGUCAAUGUAAGCUUUUAAGAAAAAUUGUAAUAUAUUCGGAAAUGGAAUCAAAUCAGCAAAAAUUGGAAAAGUUGUCAAGUUAGGACAGUUAACAAUUACGUAAAAUAUACAUUUAGCUAUAAUAGUGAUAAUUCCAUAAAUAGAACGUAAAAAAACUAGAAAACCAUAGUAAACUCUUAGUAACAAAAUUGUUAAAAUAUUCAAAAAUGGAAAUAACAAAAUUGGGAAAAUGACAAAUAAGGAGAAUUAACAAUUACGGCUAAAGUCCACAUACUGUAUAAAUAUGUGCAUGGAUGAUCAAGAAGUUGCAUUGUCUCUCAAAACCUAAAAACUAUUACUCGAUCACCAUGUCUUUCGCAACCAGAAUGAUGACCAUUAUACUCUCUCUUCAAAUCAUUACAGCUUUUCUCUUUAUUACCGCCACAGCCUCAUCACCUCCCAGCGGCUUCACCAUGGACCUAAUCCACCGUCGCACUAAUUCAUCUUCUUCUCGACGCUCUAAUGUUGAUGGUCAACUCCGAUCAUCUCCUUACGCCGACGUCUUCUUUGAAACGUCCGAGUAUCUUAUGAAACUCAAAAUCGGUACACCUCCUGUCGAGAUCGACGCAGUCUUAGACACAGGAAGCGAGAUCAUAUGGACACAAUGUCUGCCUUGUCUUAACUGCUACAACCAACGCAAUAUAAUAUUCGACCCUUCGAAAUCCUCGACCUACAAAGCGAGAACAUGCAAUACCCGUAACCCUUCUUGUAACUAUAAUUUGGUCUACGGAGACCAAAGCUACACCAUAGGAAGCUUAGCAACCGAGACCGUCACCAUCCAAUCCACUUCUGGCCACUCCUAUGUAAUGCCUAAAACCGUUAUUGGAUGUUCGCACAACAGCUCAGGGUUUAUAACAACCGCUUCGGGCAUUGUUGGUCUAAGUUGGAUGUCUUUAUCUCUCAUCUCUCAGAUGGGUAAAGACAUGCUCGGUGCCUUUUCUUACUGCUUUUCGCCUGAGGGAACUAGUAAGAUCAGCUUUGGAAGUAAUGCUAUUGUGUCGGGAGAUGGGACUGUAUCAACACCUAUGUUUACGAAGACGGAGAAACCUGGUUUCUAUUACCUAAACCUAGACGCCGUCAGCGUUGGGGAGGCUCGCGUUGAAACAUUGGGGACUCCGUUUCAAGCCGUAGACGGGAACAUGUUGAUAGACUCUGGAACCACCUUCACCUACUUGCCCGCUAGCUACUGCAGCCUAGUGAGGGAGUCGGUGGAAAAGGUUGUGACUGCGGAACUAUUUACUACCUCCGACGGCACGCAUUGCUACAAAACGAAGACGAUGGAUAUCUUCCCAGUGAUCACAAUGCAUUUCUCUGCGGGUGCAGAUCUUGUUUUGGAUAGAAACAAUACUUAUAUGGCUAACGGAGAAACCAUUUGUCUGAUGAUUAUGUGUAGUCCAAUGACACCAGUUGCUGAAGCGGCCGUUUUUGGUAACAGAGCACAGAACAACUUCUUGGUUGGUUAUGAUCGUUCUUCAUUACAGUUUUCGUUUAAACCCACCGAUUGUGGAGUUACAGAAGACAAAAAACCAAGAGACUCAACUUCUGCAGCAUCGUUUUCACAGUUUAACAUUAAGUUUGUUUUAUUUAUAGUUGUCCUUUCACUAAUAAGACUAUAGAGAAUGGGUUUGUUUUAUUUUUAUAUGUCCUUUCAUUAAUAAUACCCUAGAUAAUGGAUUUGUUUUAUUUAUAUUUAGUCGUUUCUAAUAAUACCAUAGAGAAUGGAUUUGUUUUAUUUAGUUUGUCCUUUCAUUAAUAAGACCAGAGAGAAUGGAUUUGUUUUAACCAGCAUCAAUAUGCGAAUGAGUAGUUGAGUCGCACUCAUAAACGAAUAACAUAUGACCUUUUAGACAUCUCCGCCAUAAGUUUUCUCGCCUUUUCCAUUGAUGAUGUAGGAAAAUACUCCAUCUGAACCGAUACACACAUCCUUAAGCUUACAUCCAACAACUCUAAAUCUAGACCACAAGAUACAAGGCAAUCCUCUAAAUGCAUAAUUAUUGUUCAAGAGUUCCUCAUCUAUGUUAAACAUUAUAAAUAGCAUGAAGAAUCAUCACCAAAUGCAAAUUAAUAACCCCAUAUAAUACCCUUUCGAUGACUGAUUACAAUACUAUGAUUGAGAUAAUAAGCGGCAUGAUUCCAGUAUACAACAAGUUCAUCUUCUAAAUUCUAAUGCAUAGACACUGUUCAAUGUUUGACUCUUUUAAGAUUAGCAUUUUAAAUAGCAUCACCAAAACAGCCCCAAGCAGUAUCAUCAUAGAUAUGAAGCAUCAGCAUUGUUAUUAAGGAACACUGGAAACAUAUAUUUUCGAGAUACUAUACUUGGUGAUGAUUACAUGCCUCCAACCUAUAUUGAUUGAUCAUCAUCGCUAAGAUAAACAGUAAUUUUAGCUUCAUACCUCCAAACUAUGCCUCCAACAUUCACAGAAUGAGUCGAGACGGAGCAACUGAAUGUGCGAUUUUUCCUUGGCCAGCAAAAGUAGAUGUUAAAGUAAAUUGUGAACUUAUCGAAUCUGAUCAUUAAUGUUUAUCAUCUUUCUGUGAGUCAAAUGUAGGUUUAGAUAGUAAGAUUAUUUGAUAAAAGGAUAGAUAUCAUGAAAGUGGACUGAUCUUGAUCUGUUGUUAGAGUUUGAUACUUAUUUGCUAAGUUCCUUGAAUAGUUGUUUGGUUCUUGAUAGUAAACCUCAUGGAUCAUCACCCUAGUUAGCUUCAUUUUAAUCUGAUGAGUGUACAGUUAGUAAUAGCUUUUUUUCUUUUUGGGUCAACUCAGUUAGUAGUAGUUAAGACAAUGCCCACAAGUUAAGAGAUAUGGGCAAGCGAGGCGGCUUUGUAUUUUUUUUUUCCCUUCUUUCUCUAAGAACAUUGGAAUAUUUCUCGAGCUAUUUACACUGAAACACACAAUUCUCAUCCUCAAUAACACAAAGACACACAUAAUACUGGUUGCACACUUUGUAUCAUGGAAAACUGAUCGUUCUUCAUUACAGGUUUCGUUUAAACCCACCGAUUGUGGAGUUACAGAAGACAAAAAACCAAGAGACUCAACUUCUGCAGCAUCGUUUUCACAGUUUAACAUUAAGUUUGUUUUAUUUAUAGUUGUCCUUUCACUAAUAAGACUAUAGAGAAUGGGUUUGUUUUAUUUUUAUAUGUCCUUUCAUUAAUAAUACCCUAGAUAAUGGAUUUGUUUUAUUUAUAUUUAGUCGUUUCUAAUAAUACCAUAGAGAAUGGAUUUGUUUUAUUUAGUUUGUCCUUUCAUUAAUAAGACCAGAGAGAAUGGAUUUGUUUUAACCAGCAUCAAUAUGCGAAUGAGUAGUUGAGUCGCACUCAUAAACGAAUAACAUAUGACCUUUUAGACAUCUCCGCCAUAAGUUUUCUCGCCUUUUCCAUUGAUGAUGUAGGAAAAUACUCCAUCUGAACCGAUACACACAUCCUUAAGCUUACAUCCAACAACUCUAAAUCUAGACCACAAGAUACAAGGCAAUCCUCUAAAUGCAUAAUUAUUGUUCAAGAGUUCCUCAUCUAUGUUAAACAUUAUAAAUAGCAUGAAGAAUCAUCACCAAAUGCAAAUUAAUAACCCCAUAUAAUACCCUUUCGAUGACUGAUUACAAUACUAUGAUUGAGAUAAUAAGCGGCAUGAUUCCAGUAUACAACAAGUUCAUCUUCUAAAUUCUAAUGCAUAGACACUGUUCAAUGUUUGACUCUUUUAAGAUUAGCAUUUUAAAUAGCAUCACCAAAACAGCCCCAAGCAGUAUCAUCAUAGAUAUGAAGCAUCAGCAUUGUUAUUAAGGAACACUGGAAACAUAUAUUUUCGAGAUACUAUACUUGGUGAUGAUUACAUGCCUCCAACCUAUAUUGAUUGAUCAUCAUCGCUAAGAUAAACAGUAAUUUUAGCUUCAUACCUCCAAACUAUGCCUCCAACAUUCACAGAAUGAGUCGAGACGGAGCAACUGAAUGUGCGAUUUUUCCUUGGCCAGCAAAAGUAGAUGUUAAAGUAAAUUGUGAACUUAUCGAAUCUGAUCAUUAAUGUUUAUCAUCUUUCUGUGAGUCAAAUGUAGGUUUAGAUAGUAAGAUUAUUUGAUAAAAGGAUAGAUAUCAUGAAAGUGGACUGAUCUUGAUCUGUUGUUAGAGUUUGAUACUUAUUUGCUAAGUUCCUUGAAUAGUUGUUUGGUUCUUGAUAGUAAACCUCAUGGAUCAUCACCCUAGUUAGCUUCAUUUUAAUCUGAUGAGUGUACAGUUAGUAAUAGCUUUUUUUCUUUUUGGGUCAACUCAGUUAGUAGUAGUUAAGACAAUGCCCACAAGUUAAGAGAUAUGGGCAAGCGAGGCGGCUUUGUAUUUUUUUUUUCCCUUCUUUCUCUAAGAACAUUGGAAUAUUUCUCGAGCUAUUUACACUGAAACACACAAUUCUCAUCCUCAAUAACACAAAGACACACAUAAUACUGGUUGCACACUUUGUAUCAUGGAAAACGCCUACUAUAUCCUUAACUAGACACCAAACUAAUUCACAUCUCUUACAACUUAUCCUGUUUUCCCUUAUUAUUCUCGAAACCAAUGUCCCCUAAAACCAAAAAAAAUCCCCCAUUUUUUUCAUAUCUCUUCCAACUCGAUUAUCUUGUCCCCUCCACUUUCAAUCUCUGGCGAAGCUUCGUCCCCUCCACUUGCAAUUUCCAGCAAAGCUUCGUCCCCUCCACUUUUGAUCUCUAGAAAACAACCAUAUCAUUGUGAUUCCUCCUACAUCCUGACCUCCGAACCUCACCUUUUAAACCUUAGUUGUAAAAAUCUAUGUCGCUCUCUUCCCUCACCAUGACCGUAUGUAAAAGAUAUUCAAUCAUCCAAGUUUUUUGUUGUGCAAUUAAUUUAUGUAAUUUUAUUUCUCACAACCGAUUUUCCAGGUAAGACUAUUCUAAAUCCAGUCUCAUCUCUCUGUUAUCAGAAGUCUCGCCGAAUGAUAAGGAUUAUUUCUAAUCUAAGUAAAAUCAAUGUAGUAUUUAAGAGUCAAUCUAAUUCUAAACGAUUUCAAUCCAAAGAAAAUACAGAUUAAUGCAUAAUCUAAGUGCAAUCAGUGUGAUGAAGUGAUUUGAUUUAACUAACAAGACUCUAAGGAAAUAAAUUAACAAACUUUCAAGGAAUAGGAUAAAGGAAGACUCAUGGGUUUAAGAAUUUGACUUCAGAUGAUUAAAUUCCAGUCUAGAAUGACAAGGUAUCAAUCGACAUAUUUCCUUAAAUCUAGACAACGAGACUAAACAAUUUCUUUGUCAAGAUAAAUGUUCAUUUACUCUCAUUAAUCAAACAUCAAAUGUCUUUGGUUUGUGUCAUGCAAAUAAUCAUUAAGAGUGAGUCUAUUAACUAUCUAAGUUCUUCUAACAUCAAAUGUUUUUGGUUAAGCUAGCAAAGAGAAAAGUUGAGUUCGCUCAGACAUUUCAUCGAACACCUUCCGGGUAAUGAAAUGUCUAGAGUUCUAACCUAAAGAGGCCAACUCUAUACUAGCAUUAAGAUCAGUCAACAAACAAGGAAAUAGAUUAAUCUAACUCUAAACACUCUAGAUCUUCAUUUAAUCAUCCUAAUCACCAUAAUUCAUGAAUCCAAAGAUGACUACUCACUCAUUAUCAUGAUAGACAUUAAAUCAUUGGUUGAUUUAAGAUUAAACAUAAUUAAUGAUCAAAGUAAUCAAGAAAACACGAAAGGAUAUAGAUCAAGAUUAAAUCUUUAUCUCCAAAGUGGUUUUUGAUUUGAUAGAUAACAAGAUAAUACAAUGUAUUUAUAGUUGCUUAAAACACAAGGACAAAAUGGUAAAAUGCUCUGCUAUGGAUGAUGGCCGCGACCAUCUCUAGCCUGCAAAGUGAGCACGCAAAAUCAAGUACCUCGUUCGCGACCCACACAUCCCGCGGUAGCACCUCACAAAAUGGCCUGGUCGGAUUUGUCGUAACAUGGUCACGACCUGCCUUCACCCGCGAACGCCACCAGUGAUCUACCUCUUCACUUCGCGGCCUCCACUUCCUGCGAUUCACCAUGGUUGAAUCUCGACAUCUUGACGUAGAGCAAUUGCAUGCAUGCUCUGAUUGCGGCUGUGAACUGCGAUCACCGAGUACCAUCGCAGCCUCUUGUUGUCUGCGAAAGGAGCCUGCUACGGCACCAUCACAGCCACCGUGCCUCCUCCACGAUUCUCCACCGUGUCUUACGAAGCUAGCAUCCUCCGUCAUUGUCGUGGUCGAGCUCGAGCUCGUGUUCACCGUCGUCUCUUCCUCCUGUAGAGAAUCUUAAAACAAGAAAGAUUCAAGCUUUAUAAAGCCUUAUUGAUACAAAAUGAAAUAGCUUGUUAAAGCUUUAUUUAGUGCAAGAAAUUAAAGAGAAAAAAAAAAGCUUUAGACUUGUCUUCAAGAACACAAAGAUUCUAUUAAUAUCAUAAGAGUUUUGAAUGAAGCUGCUACAAUGGCAGCCAAGGUUACAACCAAAAAACAUCUAAAGACAUAUUUAUAUCAGUCUAGAAAUCCUAACACGUGAACUAUUGAGACUUCUUAAUGGAUCAUAAGUGGACCUUCAGUGUGGGCUUCAAUACCUCCACCACCACAAACUCUCACUUGUCUAAGCUCUCCACCGUAGCUCACAGCCGCAUAAGCUUUAAGCCUCGUCCCAAUCACAUGACUGAGCCUUAUUGAAACCCUAGGGUCACUGCUUAGCUCUACCGGUGACAAGGACCUCGCGACAAGCCGACACCAUCGGGAUCGAAGCAAAAAGGAACGACAAAGGUGAUCUUUAGCGUAUUUGAAAAUUUGGUCCUUCCACUUCUGGUUUUUUUAAAUUGGCCCCAAACUUUCUGAUUUGAAAACUUAACAUUGAAUUUCACCAUUAACUUCCAAUUGUGCAUUUUAGACCUUGUCAAAUGCAAUUAUGUAUGCAAAUACAAUUUAACACCUAAAUGCAACCUAGAAUGAUCAUAAUAAGCAUAAAUAUGAAUUUAAAACUCAUCAAAAUCAAGAGUAUCACCGAGAACGAGCUUCACGACCUGAACCUCCCCUCUAGGUUCUUUGCGACAUAUCAUUUCCCCAACAACAAGCUCAACAUCUAUUGCAAAUUAGACUUGUUAACAUUUCUCAACCGCACGCUCAAACACACUAUGGUGUUGUAGACCCUUUGACAGUCUUGCUUCAGGAAAGCUCUUCGAACUUCCUCUCGACACAGCUGCCAUCUCAUAUAACCUGAUAUACUCUCUCCUAACCAGAAAACUGAUAACAUAAAUUAAGUGUAUUAUGUGGGAAGUCUUUAGACAAAAUGCCAACCCAUCCACAUAUGUGUAUGGUUUUGUGGACAGUCUCCAAACCCAUCCAUAUUAUCCCAUCUGCUAAGAUAUAUAAAUUUAAAAGAAAUGCCAACCCAUCUAAUAUGCAGAAUCCACAAUAUCAAACGCUACUACUUCUCCACUACUACACUCCAUCCUAUGAAACAACUAUAAAACCUAUUGAAAUAAUCAACCUAAAUCAUAUCUAUUACCACAUUUAAAAACAUUCUAAGUGUGUAAAGUUUACCAUCAACAAACUUCUAAGAGACUACCAAUCACACAUCCAUUUAAACCCAUCCACAACCUACCAUCAUCUCAUUGUUCGGAAAGCGCUACCCCAUCUACACAAAAUCAUCCACCAUCUCCUAACACAACCACAAAUCUUUUACCACUCUCCUCCAUAAAUACUUAUCUAC
rnacentral:lncRNA from 1 species